rnacentral:rRNA from 1 species
GUCAUGAAAGUCGGUAACACCCGAAGCCGGUGGCCUAACCCCUUGUGGGAGGGAGUUGUCGAAGGUGGGAUCGGCGAUUGGGACGAAGUCGUAACAAGGUAGCCGUACCGGAAGGUGCGGCUGGAUCACCUCCUUU